AAAUACGCUGAUAUAUUCUGAUGCUAUUUGCCACAAUACAUGUUAGGCAGCACUUAUGACUUAUACAACCCACCGCCACAAUUUCUUUUUCUUUGAAGGAGCUUUCUUUGGUGGGAAAAGAAUAAUCUGGACCUUAAAAGGAUCAGGUUAUAAAUUCAAAUAAUAAAAAAUGCACAAAAAAAAAAUCAGAAUUUUUUAUUACAAAAAAGCACCAACUUCGCGUCAUGGUGGAGGAGAUCCGCUCGGUGUCAUCGCUGCAUCGUCUUCCCCGGCAAGUUGGGCGUGGACUCAGUGCCGCUGGCUGAGGAGAUCUGAGAGAAGAGCAAAACAGAGAUUCAGAGAGGAGAGAGAGCUCGCCUCGCCGUCGUCGUUGCCGUCGCCACCGCAGUUCAUCGCCUCUCCAGAUCUGGUCGCAACGCCCAAGCCUCUGAGGAUGUUCCAUUACUACGUCCUCGACGAGACGCAGAACAAACUCGAUUACAUCCUCUCUCUCUCUCUCACUGUUGAGAACUUCCAUUACGACCUCCUUCGUGAUUCACCUCACUCACUCAGAAUCGCACGUUCAAAAAUUACCCAAAUCAAAACCCUAGCUUCUUCAACGGUUCUGCCGCCGCUGUCCGUGGUUGCCUUCCCCAAUCCCCAUCUCCCGUGGCUUCUCUGUUUGAGGAUUCAAGCUGCUCGCCGUCAUGUGGUUCGUUUCGCCACUCGCCCUCGUCUCUUUGUCGUCCUGCUGUCCGUCAAAGCAAUGCUCAGACGUGAUAAUUUUCAAUCUUUCCAGCAUGCAUUAUUGGUCCCAAAGGAGGAAGACUGCAUUGAAUGGUUUGAAAAUGCUGGCUUCAAAGACGUUAAGCUCGAAAGGAUAGGUCCAAAGUGGUACCAUGGUGGCUUCAAAGUCCGGCAUGGCCAAGUUCAUCCAUCAGUGCAUAUUAGCUUUUUCACAGGCCACAGAGGAGGUUCAUUGAGCUGGAAGCUCAUAGUUGUACUAAAGAUACUGAAUUAGACAUGCUUUGGACAUCUCACAUGUUUACUCAGAUUGAGAAUUGCUAGUGAAAAUGAAAUCAGUAAACCUUGUCCCCAACCUGAUUUAUUCAGAUUUGAGCAUUCAUUCAAGUCUUGUGUGCUGUGUUUUGAUUCUUCCAUAUUCAAUAACCUCUCUGAUUUGAACUUGGUAAUUGUGAAAAAGGGUGACAAUGAUUUAUCAGCCAUUUCCCCCAUUGAUACUUGCUUUUCUAAAUUCAUCUAAAAUGUGAGGCAAUCGAUUGUACAAGACUGCUAUCACCUUGCAAUUGGGAUGUUUAUUCAGAAGGUUUUUUGUCAACUAUGUUUUCUGAUUAAGUGUGCUAACCAUAAGAACAGCUUCAUUUGAGCUUUGGCACUAUCUAAUAUGUCAUAGUAGUUCAUGGUGUUGUGCACAUUGGAAGAGACUCCCUUUUGACAUCUUCUAGUCUUUGGCUCUUUGCAGUGCAGCUUCAACACCAUGCUCGGCAUCGCCUUCCGACAUUUCAGUUGAUCUUUGUACAUGUAAUUGAAUCACUGGUUUUUGUUCCUAUUAUGAUUGGUGUUCUGUUCUUUCUCUUAGUUUUAUGACGACCAGCUGCUUGCCUUCAUGGUCUUGAUUCUUAUCUGGUUGUGCGAACUCUUUACUCUCAUUAGUGUCCGAACGCCGAUUUCAAUAAAGUUCUUCCCUCGUUUCUUUUUGUUGUAUUUUCUGGUCUUUCACAUAUAUUUCUUCUUUUAUUCAUAUGGUUUUUCAUAUUUGGCUCUAUCUACUACAGCAGCUUUUAUGCAACAUCUUAUCUUAUACUUUUGGAAUCGUUUUGAGGUAAGAAAUGAUAAAGGUUGGAAAGAGCUACAAUCUGGAAAGAGGCCUUUCCUUACCGGGUGACUCAAUAUGCAACAAUAGGGAAGGAAGAAAGAAGAAGGGAUGAGGUUGUGGAAUAUUUAUAAGAUGGAUGGGAAGUUACUUAAAAGAGACUAUUGUUCAGCUGUAAUAAGUUCAUUUCUCAAGUUGUAUCCUAAAAGCGCAUUCACUUAAAGUAAGAAAUUGUAGUUUUUGAGUACUUAAUGUGUGUUUAGGUUUGUUGUUGGUCA